AGCGAACGUUAGCGGCGGGCCUAACACAUGCAAGUCGAGCGAGAAAGUGGCUUCGGCCAUCAGUAAAGCGGCGGACGGGUGAGUAACACGUAGGUAAUCUUCCCUUGAGCGGGGGACAACGUUUCGAAAGGAACGCUAAUACCGCAUAAGUUUCCAGGGACCCCGGUCUCUGGAAGGAAAGCUAGGUCGCAAGAUCCGGCACUCGAGGAGGAGCCUGCGUCGCAUCAGCUAGUUGGUGGGGAAUGGCCUACCAAGGCGAAGACGCGUAGCUGGUCUGAGAGGAUGAUCAGCCACACUGGGACUGAGACACGGCCCAGACUCCUACGGGAGGCAGCAGUGGGGAAUAUUGGACAAUGGGCGCAAGCCUGAUCCAGCCACGCCGCGUGAGUGAAUGAAGGCCUCCGGGUCGUAAAGCUCUGUGGGGAGGACGAACCGCCGCU
rnacentral:rRNA from 1 species